rnacentral:misc_RNA from 1 species
GGAGCAGUAUUCUCGUACUCCGAUUUCAUUCGCUUCGUUGCGCACAAUUCCAUGGACCACCGCCGCUCGACGUACGUCGCGCCAGCACUCCGUCGCUGGUCGUAGAACAUUCUCAUUCGCCAAGGGGAGAAGUCGCUGUCGUGCGAGCGGAAUAGGGACGAGAGUUUUCCCUAGUUUUUCACGGUGCGAAGAAAAUUUCCGUGUUGUGUACUAUCGCCCACCGUUGAACAGGCAUCCGACUGUCGAGCGGGGCUGGAAUUCGCGAGUGCAAGUCCGUGGGAAGUCGCUGCAGCGAAGUGCAAGUGCCGUCGUUCGUCUUCCUAUGAAAACUCUUGAGUGGAAAUUGAUCAAUACCCGAGAAAUUACAAUAAGAAAAGCCUGAGCGGGUGCACGGAAGGUGGCCGGGAAAAGGAAGUUGGACUGCAGUCACCAGGAAAGCCACUGCAGCGAGUGAGUGUGUGAAAAUCCGCGUCCGCUGCGUCGUCAUCUCCGGUUGGGUGUCAGGUGUGCAAAAAUCUGUUUUCCUCGCGGUGCAGGUGUUUCUGUGCAUUUUCGCACUUCUCGGCCGCAUAGGGUGCCGUGGCCAACAUUUUCAGAAUCCUUACGAGGAAUUCCUCGAGUGUCGUGAGAGUGGUUGUGUGUCCCCAGCGGGGGGCGAGUCGGGUGCCCAUUUCGCGAAAGACGCGCCACAACAUUUGCCAGUAAACAGAGAAGUUUUCGCGUCUUGCUGAUCGGCGAGUAGUGAAAUUGCGUGGAAACUAUCGGCCGGUGGCAGGGUAAUUGCUACUCAGAUGCCGUUCACCUUUUGUAAUCAUCAUUGAACCGAGUCCUGGAUAUUUGAUGUUCGUCUAAACUAAAAUGAUACACCAGAACUCAUAAGGCUUUCAAAUUUAUGAUUCACACGUCCAAAUCAGUCGAACUUUGCUGCUGAAAUCCUACUCAUGAAGAAACAAAUUGUAUUCGGCAUUCAAAAUUAACAGAAAGUCAACCACAUUGACGUCGCCAUCAUGAUGGACAUGGAGCCACGGGUUGCCCUAUUACAGGAUCUACACCUGCAGAGAUUCGACACUAUUCGAUUUGCGUCUUACCGAACUGCCUCGAAACUUCGAUAUAUACAGAAAUCUACAAACUUACAUUUAGUCGAUAUAUGGAAUGUUAUCGAAGCAUUUCGGGAGAAUGGUUUGAAUACGCUUGAGCCACAGAGUGAAGUCAGUGUUGCCCGAUUGGAAACGCUCGUCUCAUCGCUCUAUCACAAUUUGAAUAAACGUCUUCCAACAGCGCAACAAGUUCCUGUCGAUUCUAAAGCUGGCCUAUUACUUAAUUGGCUUCUGGCUGCCUAUUCUAGUGAUAAUACCGGAAAAAUUCGAGUUUUCUCGAUAAAAGUAGCACUCGCGACCAUGUGUGCUGGAAAACUAGUUGAUAAAUUACGAUACAUUUUCUCUCAAAUAUCCGACAGUGCCGGGCAGUUAAUUCCGUGGAAACUUGGUGAAUUUCUUCGUGAGGUGCUAGCCUUACCGGCGGCCGUCUAUGAAUCUCCCACAUUCCACUAUAAGGAAAAUCUUGAAGAGGAAAUUUUCCCAGCCGAAAAUAAAAUCACAGUUAACGACUUUAUGGCCACACUCAUGUCCGAGCCAGGACCGUCGUGUCUAGUAUGGCUGCCACUCUUACAUCGAUUAGCUACAGUCGAAACGAUAGUUCAUCCGACAAUAUGUUCUGUAUGUCAUAAGGAGAACUUUACCGGUUUCCGUUAUAGAUGCCAACGAUGCCAUGCCUACCAGCUAUGCCAGGAGUGUUUCUGGCAAGGACGUACCUCAUUGAAUCACCAAAACGACCACGAAGUGAAAGAGUACUCGAGCUACAAAUCGCCAAGUAAACAAAUUGGUCAUUCGUUGAGGAAAAGUUUUCGUUGUGUACCGGAAAAGAACAGCCAAGUUUUGCCAAGAUUUCCUGAACAACCAGAGAAAACUUUGAAUUUGUCGCAUAUUGUGCCACCAUCACCACUUCCAUCACAUAAUGGUUUUUCCGAUCCAAGUAUGUUAGGUGGUCAGGGAGCGUUCGAUAGAAGUAGCACCCUCGAUUCGAGAGCAACAGGUCGAAGUUUAGAUAGUGCUGGAGCCUCUCUGUCUCGAGCUGCCUCGUCGAACGACGAGGAGCAUCGAUUGAUUGCGAGAUAUGCUGCAAGAUUGGCACAGGAAAAUCGAACGCCAUCUGGUAUCUCAAACGAUACUGCCGCCCUUAGUUCGGAUAAUUCACGAGCACAACGUGAACUUAUCGCCCAACUUGAAGCCAAAAACAAGGAGAUCAUGCGAGAAAUUGCCCGCCUUAAAACACAACAGGGAUCUCAACAAAUGAAUCCCGAAAGUCCGGCAUUAAUGAAUGAGCUUCGUCUGCUGAGACAGCGCAAAGGCGAGCUCGAAGGACAUUUGGGUGCACUUCAAGAUUCACGCCGCCAACUCAUGGUUCAACUCGAGGGUUUAAUGCGAAUGCUAAAAAAUCAACAAACUUCCAGUCCCCGUUCAACGCCAAAUUCUAGUCCACGUUCGGGCAAGAGUCCGCCGUUACCACAACAACAGCUUACCAACCAUCAACAGCAGCAACAAUCAACAGGAGGUCAAAUGUUGGGUGGAAAUCCAUUACGAACCGGAGGACCACUUACCAAUUCAUCACAAAUGCAGCAACAAGCAAUAGCAACGAAUAAUUCAAAUCAGGUUGCCAUCACUUCAAACAUGGUGAAUGUCACCAAUCAAAUUGAUUCGUCGCUGAAUUCCCUUGGAGGUGAUGUUCGGUCUGCUUUUGGAACGAACGGAGCUGCAAAUUUACAUAUUGCAGCUGAUUCUGUAACGUCUGCCAUGUCGUCGCUAGUGCGAGAGUUGAAUACAGAAUAUCAUCCAAACAUAAUGUUCCAACAGCACUACUCGUAAUACAGGAAAACGGCAAAAAGGACAAAGUACAUGGAUAUAUCCUUACAGAUUUUGACGAAAGUAUUUCUUAUAAUACCGAAUGGCACGAAAAGCAGAGCAGUAAUCAAUGGCAAGAACAGUUUGCCCAAUGGAAUUUGAACGCGCAUAAUCAAUAAACAGAAAAGGAACUGGUCGUGGAGCGAAGGGUGUGAAAGGUUACGUUUAAAGUUGUUAUUUAUAUUAUUUACAAUAAAUAAUAUAAAGGAUAUUAUUGUAGAGAAUACGCCUUUAUUUUUAUUCUUUUAAAAUGACUCUUAAAGCAGAGAAAUGUGUUUCAACGUAAAUAUUAAGUGGGGACGUGUUACAUUGGGGAUAUUUAUUCAACAAAAAUAAAAGCAAAAACGUUUUAAGAAUAGAAAAUCUUUAUAUACAUAUUUUCAGGGAAUUCUGAUGAUCAAGAAAUUUUCAUUUAAUACUUUCAUGUCGAUGGCUACGGAUUAAUAUUUUUCCUGUAAAAGAUACAAUUUGAAAUGGGAAGUUGCAAAAAGAAAUUUUGUUUUAUUGAAUAAAAUAACAUUCAUUUUCCUUUGAUGUUAAAUAUUGUACUGUAAAUGUAGAUAAGCAACUAAAGUCUGAUUUUCUUUUCAAAGUUUUCAUAUCUUACACAAAUACAAAUUAUUUCCUGAUUCAAUUUUCAAAUACAAGUUAAAAUAGCUUUUGCUUACUCUUAAUGUAAAGAUGUUAUCGAACAUGAAUGUGAAAUUGUAUCUGUUUGUAAAAUCAGCAUCCAAUGUGGUUUCUGUGGUCGCAUUCUAAAAAUUCUAUAAAAUAUUAA